AGUGAACGCUGGCGGUAGGCCUAACACAUGCAAGUCGAACGGCAGCACAGUAAGAGCUUGCUCUUACGGGUGGCGAGUGGCGGACGGGUGAGGAAUACAUCGGAAUCUACUUUUUCGUGGGGGAUAACGUAGGGAAACUUACGCUAAUGCCGCAUACGACCUACGGGUGAAAGCAGGGGAUCUUCGGACCUUGCGCGAUUGAAUGAGCCGAUGUCGGAUUAGCUAGUUGGCGGGGUAAAGGCCCACCAAGGCGACGAUCCGUAGCUGGUCUGAGAGGAUGAUCAGCCACACUGGAACUGAGACACGGUCCAGACUCCUACGGGAGGCAGCAGUGGGGAAUAUUGGACAAAGGGCGCAAGCCUGAUCCAGCCAUACCGCGUGGGUGAAGAAGGCCUUCGGGUUGUAAAGCCCUUUUGUUGGGAAAGAAAAGCAGCAGGUUAAUACCCCGCUGUUCUGACGGUACCAAAAGAAUAAGCACCGGCUAACUUCGUG
rnacentral:rRNA from 1 species